rnacentral:rRNA from 1 species
GACCUAGCAGAGCCGGCGCCGCCUCGGGGCAACCCGAGCCGCGGUCCGGCGCCUGGAAUGAGAGCAACCCAAACCCCUCACCGAGGAUCCGUCGGAGGGAAAGUCUGGUGCCAGCAGCCGCGGUAAUUCCAGCUCCAAGAGUGUAUAUUAAAGUUGUUGCGGUUAAAAAGCUCGUAGUUGAAUUUCUGAAAAUAAUCUUGUGAUUGAUUUAACCGUCAUGAACAAAAUUGUUUACAUACUUGAUAGAUGGAAACAUUUAUCUUAAUGACUUUGAAAAAAUUAGAGUGUUCAAAGCAUGAUUCACAUUUGAAUAAUACAGCAUGGGAUAAUAAAUAGGAUUUUUCUUAUAUUUUGUUGGUUUUAUAUAAGUUAAAUAUGAUUAAUAGGAUAGUUGGGGCACUUGUAUUCAAUAGUCAGAGGUGAAAUUCUAGGAUUUAUUGAAGACAAACUUCAG